AGCAGAGUGGCUUAGCGGAUAGAGCACAGGUCUGGGAGUCAGAAGGACCUGGGUUCUAAUCCCAGCUCUGCCA
rfam:Ornithorhynchus anatinus chromosome 4, whole genome shotgun sequence.